rnacentral:tRNA from 1 species
GGAGGUGUCUGGGUGCCUGGUGGUCCCCGCGGUCUUCAAAACUGACGUGGCCGAGCACCUCGGCCAGGCGGGUUCGAUUCCCGUCCACCUCCGCCA